rnacentral:rRNA from 1 species
AACGAACGCUGGCGGCAGGCUUAACACAUGCCAGUCGAACGCACCGCAAGGGGAGUGGCUGACGGGUGAGUAACGCGUGGGAACAUACCCGUUUCUACGGAAUAGCUCAGGGAAACUGGAAUUAAUACCGUAUACGCCCUACGGGGGAAAGAUUUAUCGGGGAAGGAUUGGCCCGCGUUGGAUUAGCUAGUUGGUGGGGUAAAGGCCUACCAAGGCGACGAUCCAUAGCUGGUCUGAGUGGAUGAUCAGCCACAUUGGGACUGAGACACGGCCCAAACUCCUACGGGAGGCAGCAGUGGGGAAUAUUGGACAAUGGGCGCAAGCCUGAUCCAGCCAUGCCGCGUGAGUGAUGAAGGCCUUAGGGUUGUAAAGCUCUUUCACCGAUGAAGAUAAUGACGGUAGUCGGAGAAGAAGCCCCGGCUAACUUCGUG